AUAUAAAUCUAGCGUGAGGCACACGUGUUACAUCUACACUCUCAAUCAUUGAUAAACAACAUUGAACAAUUCUAGAAAAAUCUUUAUUUUAUGAAAACAAGCGUUUGUUGAAACGGAUAUAGUAUGGUGGAAGCGGAAGUCGAAAAAUAAGGCCUUUUUAUGUGGACACCGGGAGCUGAAGAGCUGAUCUAUAGGAACGAAAACGUGUUUGUAGACAAAGAUGAUGCAGAAUGUAUAUGUCAACAAAACUUUGGUCUACAUAAAAAAAAUAUUACCAGGAAGAAAAAUUACAGCAAGGUACCUACUGACUGUGAUGGUGUUUUGGUACAUGGUAGUUGAUAUCAGAGUUCUAUUAUGUAAG